rnacentral:rRNA from 1 species
AGAGUUUGAUCAUGGCUCAGAUUGAACGCUGGCGGCAGGCCUAACACAUGCAAGUCGAGCGGUAGCACAGAGAGCUUGCUCUCGGGUGACGAGCGGCGGACGGGUGAGUAAUGUCUGGGAAACUGCCUGAUGGAGGGGGAUAACUACUGGAAACGGUAGCUAAUACCGCAUAACGUCGCAAGACCAAAGAGGGGGACCUUCGGGCCUCUUGCCAUCAGAUGUGCCCAGAUGGGAUUAGCUAGUAGGUGGGGUAACGGCUCACCUAGGCGACGAUCCCUAGCUGGUCUGAGAGGAUGACCAGCCACACUGGAACUGAGACACGGUCCAGACUCCUACGGGAGGCAGCAGUGGGGAAUAUUGCACAAUGGGCGCAAGCCUGAUGCAGCCAUGCCGCGUGUAUGAAGAAGGCCUUCGGGUUGUAAAGUACUUUCAGCGGGGAGGAAGGGAGUAAAGUUAAUACCUUUGCUCAUUGACGUUACCCGCAGAAGAAGCACCGGCUAACUCCGUGCCAGCAGCCGCGGUAAUACGGAGGGUGCAAGCGUUAAUCGGAAUUACUGGGCGUAAAGCGCACGCAGGCGGUCUGUCAAGUCGGAUGUGAAAUCCCCGGGCUCAACCUGGGAACUGCAUUCGAAACUGGCAGGCUAGAGUCUUGUAGAGGGGGGUAGAAUUCCAGGUGUAGCGGUGAAAUGCGUAGAGAUCUGGAGGAAUACCGGUGGCGAAGGCGGCCCCCUGGACAAAGACUGACGCUCAGGUGCGAAAGCGUGGGGAGCAAACAGGAUUAGAUACCCUGGUAGUCCACGCCGUAAACGAUGUCGACUUGGAGGUUGUGCCCUUGAGGCGUGGCUUCCGGAGCUAACGCGUUAAGUCGACCGCCUGGGGAGUACGGCCGCAAGGUUAAAACUCAAAUGAAUUGACGGGGGCCCGCACAAGCGGUGGAGCAUGUGGUUUAAUUCGAUGCAACGCGAAGAACCUUACCUGGUCUUGACAUCCACAGAACUUUCCAGAGAUGGAUUGGUGCCUUCGGGAACUGUGAGACAGGUGCUGCAUGGCUGUCGUCAGCUCGUGUUGUGAAAUGUUGGGUUAAGUCCCGCAACGAGCGCAACCCUUAUCCUUUGUUGCCAGCGGUCCGGCCGGGAACUCAAAGGAGACUGCCAGUGAUAAACUGGAGGAAGGUGGGGAUGACGUCAAGUCAUCAUGGCCCUUACGACCAGGGCUACACACGUGCUACAAUGGCGCAUACAAAGAGAAGCGACCUCGCGAGAGCAAGCGGACCUCAUAAAGUGCGUCGUAGUCCGGAUUGGAGUCUGCAACUCGACUCCAUGAAGUCGGAAUCGCUAGUAAUCGUGGAUCAGAAUGCCACGGUGAAUACGUUCCCGGGCCUUGUACACACCGCCCGUCACACCAUGGGAGUGGGUUGCAAAAGAAGUAGGUAGCUUAACCUUCGGGAGGGCGCUUACCACUUUGUGAUUCAUGACUGGGGUGAAGUCGUAACAAGGUAACCGUAGGGGAACCUGCGGUUG